AAGUACAUCGGAAUUUGUCCCACGUCGUGGUGGGAUAACGUAGGGAAACUUACGCUAAUACCGCAUACGACCGAGAGGUGAAAGCGGGGGAUCUGUAAGGACCUCGCGCGAGUGGAUGAGCCGAUGUCGGAUUAGCUAGUUGGCGGGGUAAAGGCCCACCAAGGCGACGAUCCGUAGCUGGUCUGAGAGGAUGAUCAGCCACACUGGGACUGAGACACGGCCCAG
rnacentral:rRNA from 1 species